rnacentral:rRNA from 1 species
ACUCAAAGGAAUUGACGGGGGCCCGCACAAGCGGCGGAGCAUGCGGAUUAAUUCGAUGCAACGCGAAGAACCUUACCAAGGCUUGACAUGGACCGGAUCGCCGCAGAAAUGUGGUUUCUCCUUUGGGGCCGGUUCACAGGUGGUGCAUGGUUGUCGUCAGCUCGUGUCGUGAGAUGUUGGGUUAAGUCCCGCAACGAGCGCAACCCUCGUUCCAUGUUGCCAGCACGUAGUGGUGGGGACUCAUGGGAGACUGCCGGGGUCAACUCGGAGGAAGGUGGGGACGACGUCAAAUCAUCAUGCCCCUUAUGUCUUGGGCUUCACGCAUGCUACAAUGGCCGGUACAAAGGGUUGCGAUACUGUGAGGUGGAGCUAAUCCCAAAAAGCCGGUCUCAGUUCGGAUUGGGGUCUGCAACUCGACCCCAUGAAGUCGGAGUCGCUAGUAAUCGCAGAUCAGCAACGCUGCGGUGAAUACGUUCCCGGGCCUUGUACACACCGCCCGU